GGUCUAAUAGUGUAGAGGUUAGCACACGGGAUUUUGAUGUCAUGCCAAUUUUCCAUGGUUGACUUCCCGUAACCCAGGUUCGAGUCCUGGUUAGACCU